GAAGCGCUCAGAUUUGGAAUGGCUGGUAUUGGGUUGACUGCUCGGGAACGGAGCGGACGUGAAAGGGAGAGGGCAGGGUGGAGCUCACGCGGACCUGAAAGGGACACGGCACGGUGGAACUCAAGCGGACGUGAAAAUGAGAGGGCAGGAGGGAACUCACACGGACCUGAUAAGGAAGGCGGCACGGUGGAGCUCAAGCGGACGCGAAAGGGAGAGGGCACGGUGGAGCUCACGCGGACCUGAUAGGAACACGGCACGAUGGAGCUCAAGCGGACGUGAAAGGGUGAUGUCCCAGCCGACCGCGGAGGGUGAACCAGGCGCAAAGACGGACAGAUCGCGAGCAAACAGGGUUAGCGUCGAUAGCACAAGGUCGGAAUGGACAUGGCGAGCCGAAGGGCCUGUUUCCGUGCGGUUUCCAGCAUCUGCGGUUUUUGGUACUCUGCUUUUGCCCAGCACUAACUCAUUAAUAAUACUGAUGCAGAUUGCAGAAUUAUUGAGUUUGAGGAAGAGCCACUGAAAAGCAGCAAAUGGAUAAGAGAAUUUCAACAGAAAUUUUGUGCUAGGCAAACUUCAAAGAAUAUUGGCGCCGAGGAUUUCUGCUUUAUUAGCAGAACUUUUAUGCAUGUUAAAUUGUGAUUAGUGUAGUAAUCACAGUGAACCCUGCAGUGAACUACUGCAGCUAUCAGCCCAUAAACGGAAAAAUACAAUCCCAUCCAUGGAAGGUCGAAUUUUCUAUCGAAAAAUAAUGUGGUGUAUAUAUAUCUCAAAUUGUAAUUAUUCUUUUGAUGUUGGAGGUGCAUAUUUAAAAGAUUGGGUGAUUAGAGACAUUUUAAAAAUAUCAAUAGGGAGUUUUAUAAAAUGAAUAAAAUGUUUGGUUACUACUUAUUUCCAGGAUAAAUGGAGGACUUGCCAUCUCUGGUUUGAGGCUGUAAUUACAGCCACUGUAGGCCAAUUCUGAAGCCUUUCAUCUGCCAAAAAUGUUUGAAUCAAAGGUGAUUGAAGUUUAACUGAAAGCCAUGGCAUUAGACAUGCAUACAAACCGUUGAUGUUUCCCCAUCAGUUACGACUGACAUAUUCUUGCAUUAAAUUAAGAAGCAUAUUUGUAAAUGUUUUAUCAACAAAAUACAGCAGCCUUUCAUAGCCCAAAAAUGGGACAUGUUUGA